UGAACGCUGGCGGCGUGCAUAACACAUUCAAGUCGAACGAAGCAUUUAAGAUGGAGACUUCGGUCAAAGUCUUAAUUGACUUAGUGGCGGACGGGUGAGUAACGCGUGAGAAACCUGCCUCUCAGUGGGGGACAACAGUUGGAAACGACUGCUAAUACCGCAUAACAUAUUCGGACCGCAUGAUCUGAAUAUCAAAGCUUUAUGUGCUGAAAGAUGGCCUCGCGUCUGAUUAGCUAGUUGGUGGGGUAACGGCCCACCAAGGCGACGAUCAGUAGCCGGUCUGAGAGGAUGAACGGCCACAUUGGGACUGAGAUACGGCCCAGACUCCUACGGGAGGCAGCAGUGGGGAAUAUUGCACAAUGGGCGAAAGCCUGAUGCAGCAACGCCGCGUGAGGGAAGACGGUUUUCGGAUUGUAAACCUCUGUCUUCGGUGACGAAUAAUGACGGUAGCCGAGGAGGAAGCCACGGCUAACUACGUG
rnacentral:rRNA from 1 species